rnacentral:lncRNA from 1 species
CCAAAAUUAGUUAAACAAACAGAGUCUUCUAUCCGGCCACCAUCACCGGGUAUGGAAACGCCGUCGUAUCAAACUCUUGGCUAUUCACAAUCAGUUCAAUCCUUCAUCUUCACAAACACAGUCUUCUGUCCUUCCUCAGACAGUUCUCUUCUGUACAUACCGUCGUCUAUAUCGCUCCUACCCUCAGCCUCGUCUCCGGCUUUAUUCAAAUAAAAAGGAAAAAUUAAAUACAAAACCCAAAAAAAUAACCAUGACAGUUACAUGAUUUUUGGUCUUAUUCGAUACUUGGAGAGAACAUGAGAUCUGUUCUUCAGCGCAACUAAUUAUGUCAAGAAAAGUACAAACAUAAAUCAAAAAUAGGAAAAAUCAACAUACCCAAUUUAAAAAUGAAACAUGGAGAAAUCAAAAUGGGAUUUGAGGAGAAGAACCCACAAGCGAAUUUCAGUUCUACAGGUUCAAUGUUGAGAUUCUUGAGAAGCUCUCUGGUGCUCAUUUCAGA